rnacentral:rRNA from 1 species
GACGAACGCUGGCGGCGUGCUUUACACAUGCAAGUCGAACGGUGAAGGUGGAGCUUGCUCCGCCGGAUCAGUGGCGAACGGGUGAGUAACACGUGGGCAACCUGCCCCUAACUUUGGGAUAACUACUCGAAAGAGUAGCUAAUACCGGAUAUGAAGUCUGUAGGCAUCUACGGACUUGGCAAGUUUUUCGGUUAGGGAUGGGCCCGCGGCCUAUCAGCUUGUUGGUGAGGUAGUGGCUCACCAAGGCGACGACGGGUAGCCGGCCUGAGAGGGCGACCGGCCACACUGGGACUGAGACACGGCCCAGACUCCUACGGGAGGCAGCAGUGGGGAAUAUUGCGCAAUGGGCGAAAGCCUGACGCAGCAACGCCGCGUGCGGGAUGAAGGCCUUCGGGUUGUAAACCGCUUUCAGCAGGGAAGAAGCGAAAGUGACGGUACCUGCAGAAGAAGCACCGGCUAACUACGUGCCAGCAGCCGCCGCUG